rnacentral:rRNA from 1 species
UGGGGAAUCUUGCGCAAUGGGCGAAAGCCUGACGCAGCGACGCCGCGUGAGUGAUGAAGGCCUUCGGGUUGUAAAGCUCUGUGGAGGGGGACGAAUAAGGGUUGGCUAACAUCCAGCUCGAUGACGGUACCCCUUUAGCAAGCACCGGCUAACUCUGUGCCAGCAGCCGCGGUAAGACAGAGGGUGCAAACGUUGUUCGGAAUUACUGGGCGUAAAGCGCAUGUAGGCGGUUCGUAAAGUCAGAUGUGAAAGCCCUGGGCUUAACCCAGGAAGUGCAUUUGAAACUCACGAACUUGAGUCCCGGAGAGGAAGGCGGAAUUCUCGGUGUAGAGGUGAAAUUCGUAGAUAUCGAGAGGAACAUCGGUGGCGAAGGCGGCCUUCUGGACGGUGACUGACGCUGAGAUGCGAAAGCGUGGGGAGCAAACAG